UACAGAGGUGGCAAGCGUUGUUCGGAAUUACUGGGCGUAAAGGCGCGUAGGCGGCCUUCUAAGUCAGACGUGAAAUCCCCGGCUUAACCUGGGAACUGCGUCUGAUACUGGGAGGCUUGAGUAUGGGAGAGGGAUGUAGAAUUCCAGGUGUAGCGGUGAAAUGCGUAGAUAUCUGGAGGAAUACCGGUGACGAAGGCGGCAUCCUGGACCAAUACUGACACU
rnacentral:rRNA from 1 species